AACGAACGCUGGCGGCAGGCUUAACACAUGCAAGUCGAACGCCCUAGCAAUAGGGAGUGGCGCACGGGUGAGUAACAUGUGGGAAUAUGCCUUUUGGUACGGAACAACGUUUGGAAACGAACGCUAAUACCGUAUGGUCCCUCCGGGGUAAAGAUUUAUCGCCAAAAGAUUAGCCCGCACUAGAUUAGCUAGUUGGUAAGGUAAUGGCUUACCAAGGCGACGAUCUAUAGCUGUUCUGAGAGGAAGAUCAGCCACACUGGGACUGAGACACGGCCCAGACUCCUACGGGAGGCAGCAGUUAGGAAUAUUGGACAAUGGGCGCAAGCCUGAUCCAGCCAUGCCGCGUGAGUGAUGAAGGCCUUCGGGUUGUAAAGCUCUUUAGCCGACGAAUAUAAUGACUGUAGUCGGAGAAUAAGCCCCGGCUAACUUCGUGCCAGCCGCCGCAGUAACAC
rnacentral:rRNA from 1 species